UAUAAGGGAUUUUGAGUUUUUGCUUGCAACGUUUGACUACUCGUCUUAUUCAUUUUUUAAAAAAUUAUUAUUUAUUUUAUUUGUGACUUACUUUGUUAUCCACAGUACUUUAAGCGCAACUUUUCGUUUUUUAUAUUUGCAAAAAAAAUUUGAAUAAGAUGAGUGGUCAAACGUUGCAAGCAAAAACUCAAAAUCCCUUAUA
rfam:Oryza barthii chromosome 6, whole genome shotgun sequence.